GAGUGUAACAGACACGAGUGCCUUUCCGCCACCACGUGAAAAAGCUGCAGGUAUUUUGCUGCCAUUGUGCAAAGCCCUUCGUGCCCAGACAAAGAAGAAAAUUCUGCACCGCCCGUGAAAGAUCAGUGGGAAAAUGAAGCCAAGAAUGGGUACGGUUGUGCCAUCCGAGGAAGCAACACCAGCCGGUGUGAAAACUUUUUCAACUACCGAGGAGCGCAGCCAAAGAGGGGUGUCCCGAGGAGGCUAAAUCCAUGAAUGGUGGCGAUCUCCCAGUGGAAAGCAACUUGGAAGCAGAAAAUACAAUUUUAAAUGAAUCCCCCUUGCCAACACUAUUCGGCCCACCUCCCCGGUAAACCUUUCUUCCAAGCUCCAGGCCAGAGACAGGCCCCCGGACCCGCUGGCCCAUUGAUCUGCGAUGGACAUGGCUAUAUUGCUAACCGUUC